rnacentral:rRNA from 1 species
AUUGAACGCUGGCGGCAUGCCUUACACAUGCAAGUCGAACGGCAGCACGGGUGCUUGCACCUGGUGGCGAGUGGCGAACGGGUGAGUAAUACAUCGGAACAUGUCCUGUAGUGGGGGAUAGCCCGGCGAAAGCCGGAUUAAUACCGCAUACGAUCUACGGAUGAAAGCGGGGGACCUUCGGGCCUCGCGCUAUAGGGUUGGCCGAUGGCUGAUUAGCUAGUUGGUGGGGUAAAGGCCUACCAAGGCGACGAUCAGUAGCUGGUCUGAGAGGACGACCAGCCACACUGGGACUGAGACACGGCCCAGACUCCUACGGGAGGCAGCAGUGGGGAAUUUUGGACGAUGGGCGAAAGCCUGAUCCAGCAAUGCCGCGUGUGUGAAGAAGGCCUUCGGGUUGUAAAGCACUUUUGUCCGGAAAGAAAUCCUUGGCCCUAAUACGGUCGGGGGAUGACGGUACCGGAAGAAUAAGCACCGGCUAACUACGUG